AUUAAAUCAGAUCCUUGACAUUGUAUCAGGCAAUCCUACUUUGCGAAAAUCGAUCAAAAUUAGAAGAAAGGAAUAUUCCUUAUAGCAUUGUAUAAGUGCAGAAGAAACUUUCGAAGCAAGUUUGUAGAAAAAUCUUAGAAUAGGAGAUUCUUUUCAAUUACAUUUCAAUUUGUUUGAUUAUAAUAACUUACGAGAAGGCGUAAAUUAAUUAUUUUUUUUAAGCUUGUUUGAUGGUUACCUAAUAGAAAAAAAGCUUAAUUGUAGCAAGAUUUCUUAUGUUCAGUUUUCAAUGAUUCGAAAACGGUAAAAUAAUGGAAUGUUUACAACCGAUGAGCGACUGUAAAAACUCAUCAAUACAAAUAAUAAAAGAGUUUUUGAUCAAAAUCCUUGCUUUACUUUGAUAACGUUUCGAUCAACACAAAAACCUAUUUCAUGAAUUCGGGCAUUGUUUGGAAUUUUUAAGCAGCAUGAAUUCUGAUAUAGUAGAGGUAAAGUUUAGUUUUGGGUUGUGUUUUA